UACGAAGGGGGCUAGCGUUGCUCGGAAUCACUGGGCGUAAAGCGCACGUAGGCGGCUUUUUAAGUCAGGGGUGAAAUCCUGGAGCUCAACUCCAGAACUGCCUUUGAUACUGAGAAGCUUGAGUCCGGGAGAGGUGAGUGGAACUGCGAGUGUAGAGGUGAAAUUCGUAGAUAUUCGGAAGAACACCAGUGGCGAAGGCGGCUCACUGGCCCAAUACUGACGCUGAGGCACGAAAGCGUGGGGAGCAAACAGG
rnacentral:rRNA from 1 species